rnacentral:rRNA from 1 species
GGAUCAAGUGACCAAGCGCAUGCGGUGGAUGCCUUGGCGACCACAGGCGAUGAAAGACGUGGCAGCCUGCGAAAAGCUCCGGGGAGUUGGCAAAUAAGCGUUGAUCCGGAGAUCUCUGAAUGGGGAAACCCACCCGCAAGGGUAUCCCGGCCCCAAUCCAUAAGGCCGGGAAGCGAACCCGGGGAACUGAAACAUCUCAGUACCCAGAGGAACAGAAAUCAACCGAGAUUCCGCCAGUAGCGGCGAGCGAACGCGGAACAGCCACCGGCAGCUAACCAUUGGGUUAGGAGAACGGCCUGGAAAGGCCGGCCACAGCGGGUGACAGCCCCGUAUCCGACAACCCGAUGGCGAGACUAAGGCCGGGACAAGUAAGGCGGGGCACGUGAAACCCUGUCCGAACAUGGGGGGACCAUCCUCCAAGGCUAAAUACUCGUGGUCGACCGAUAGCGAACCAGUACCGUGUGGGAAAGGCGAAAAGAACCCCGGCGAGGGGAGUGAAAUAGAACCUGAAACCGCAUGCGUGCAAGCAGACGGAGCCCCUACGGGGGUGACGGCGUACCUUUUGUAUAAUGGGUCAGCGACUUACUUUCAGUGGCGAGCUUAACCGGUAGGGGAAGCGCAGGGAAACCGAGUCCGAAUAGGGCGCACAGUCGCUGGGAGUAGACCCGAAACCGAGCGAUCUAUCCAUGACCAGGCUGAAGGUGGGGUAACACCCACUGAAGGGCCGAACCCACGUCUGUUGAAAAAGCCGGGGAUGAGUUGUGGAUCGGAGUGAAAGGCUAAUCAAGCUCGGAGAUAGCUGGUUCUCCCCGAAAGCUAUUGAGGUAGCGCCUCGCGUCUCACUCCCGGGGGUAGAGCACUGUUUCGGCUAGGGGGCCAUCCCGGCUUACCAACCCGAGGCAAACUCCGAAUACCGGGAAGUGCAAUCGCGGGAGACACACGGCGGGUGCGAACAUCCGUCGUGAAGAGGGAAACAACCCAGACCGCCAGCUAAGGCCCCCAAAUUGCGACUCAGUGGGAAACGAGGUGGGAAGGCCCAGACAGCCAGGAGGUUGGCUUAUAAGCAGCCAUCCUUUAAAGAAA